UCCGUUGUGGUCUAGUGGUUAGGAUUUUCGGCUCUCACCCGUAAGGCUCGGGUUCGUUUUUCGGCAGCGGAA
rnacentral:tRNA from 1 species